CCCUGCAGGAGAGGAAAGAGUAGCGACCUGGAAGAGGAGCUCAAGAACGUAACUAACAAUCUGAAAUCACUGGAGGCUGCUUCUGAAAAGUACUCUGAAAAGGAGGAUAAAUAUGAAGAAGAAAUCAAGCUUCUGUCUGACAAACUGAAAGAGGCUGAGACCCGAGCUGAGUUUGCGGAAAGGACAGUUUCUAAACUGGAGAAGACAAUCGAUGACCUGGAAGAAAAACUUGCCCAGGCCAAAGAAGAGAACGUGGGCUUGCAUCAGACACUGGACCAGACACUAAACGAACUUAACUGUAUAUAAACCAAACCAGAAGAGUCCUGUCUUGACACCAACUCCACUCCAGAGAGUGCACCCUGUCUUCCUCUCUUAUAAGAAGUUCCGCUUACUACCAUGUCUCCACCUUGCUGGAAAGGCCAAGCAGAAAAUGAAUUCAUGACCAAACAUUCUGUGUUAGACAAGCUUUGAGCACCAGUUAAGUUUAAUCCUUCCUUUUCCAUUCAAAUGGCACCAGCUUCUUUGGCUAUUCUUAUUCUUAAAUUGCAUUUAUUCCUAAAAUGGGCAGGGAAUUUCACACUGCGUAUAGCUGCUUAAGGCUGAGGGCAUUUGGUUCUCGGGAAUUAGUCAGCCCCACACCUUGAAACACAGGCUCAAGUGUCUAAUCGUAGCUGGUCGCUGCUGGGGAAGUUUGUGAGGCUAGGGGUUGUUGCAAGAAAAAUGUAGAAAUUUUCCACCCAGAGCAAAAAUUAAAAACCGUCUAUGGGAAGUCAUAAAGCACAACUAGAUUGGCCCGAUCUUACUGAGUCUGUUCCACACUCCGCCGUGGAGAACAGAUUUAUUUACUUCAGCUUUCCAGGUGAGAAUGCUGGGGUGAUCACUGCUGCCCAUGUGCCUUCCGAUCGAGCUUUAAUGCUGUUCCAUGUACACAUUCCCUUCACUCCAGAAUUGUUCUUUGAGGAGCAAGUGUCUUAUUCCAGGACUUCUCUGCUGUGGUCUAACCAUACGCUCAGCAGGGAAUAUGGCAGAGUCCAACCCUUUUCAGAUCAGUCCUGUCUGGAUCAAGACUGCUAGCAAAGCCAGGUACCAGCGCUACACAGCGAGACUCUGUCUCAAAUAAUAUAAAGGUUGCCAGCCAUCAGAACAUUGAUGCCAAGGGUUAGGCAACAAAGGGUCUCUCCAGCCGCAAAGUAGUGAUAGAAAAAGAAAUUGGCUUAACUUCAUCUCCAUUGUUCAGGGAACAAGAAAUGGGAGCUUGAGUUUGCUGAGACUUGAAUUCCUUUGGGAAUGACACUAAUAAAGACCGAGAACUCCUGACUGAACUGGACGUGGAGCGCUCUAGAGGCUGCACAUAUUUUUUGGCUUUGUAGUUUUGCUUU
rnacentral:lncRNA from 1 species